CCAUGCAGGUGACACGGGUCUCAUCCCUGAUCUAAGAGGAUCCCACAUGCUGAGGACAAACUAAGCCCAUGCCCACAGCUAUUGAGCCAGUGCUCUAAAGCCUGUCAGCCACCAACUUCUGAAACCUACGUGCCUAGAUCCCGUGGUCUGCAACAAGAGAAGCCACUGCAAUGAGAAGCCCGUGCACCUCAGGUAGAGAGUAG